CCUACGGGAGGCAGCAGUGGGGAAUAUUGCACAAUGGGGGAAACCCUGAUGCAGCGACGCCGCGUGAGUGAAGAAGUAUUUCGGUAUGUAAAGCUCUAUCAGCAGGGAAGAAAAUGACGGUACCUGAUUAAGAAGCCCCUGCUGACUACGUGCCAGCAGCCGCGGUAAUACGUAGGGGGCAAGCGUUAUCCGGAUUUACUGGGUGUAACGGGAGCGUAGACGGCAGCACAAGUCUGGAGUGAAAUGGCGGGGCUUAACCCCGGAACUGCUUUGGAAACUGUGCAGCUAGAGUGCAGGAGAGGUAAGUGGAAUGACUAGUGUAGCGGUGAAAUGCGUAGAUAUUAGGAGGAACACCAGUGGCGAAGGCGGCUUACUGGACUGUAGCUGACGUUGAGGCUCGAAAGCGUGGGGAGCAAACAGGAUUAGAUACCCUAGUAGUC
rnacentral:rRNA from 1 species